GGUUGCUUGCAAGGGCGUAUGGUGGAUGCCUUGGCAGACAGUACCGAUGAAGGACGUUUGAGGCUGCGAUAUGCCUCGGGGAGCCGCCAGCAGGGCUUUGAUCCGAGGAUUUCCGAAUGGGGGAACCCGCCGGCCGUCAUGGGCCGGCACCGCGUUCGCGCGGGGGGUACGCAGGGAAGUGAAACAUCUCAGUACCUGCAGGAAAGGAUGUUCCGUGAGUAGUGGCGAGCGAAAGCGGAUCAGGCCAAACCGCGCGCGUGUGACAGGCGCCAGCCGUUGCGCGCGUGGUGUUGAGGGAGCGUGUGUCCGGGUCCUGGCGGGCCCGGCCGGAGUGAUAAAACGGCGUGUGAGGCGAACCGGAUUGAAUGCCGGGCCGCAGAGGGUGAUGGCCCCGUAGCCGAACGCGCGUCGUCUCCGGAUCGUGUCUCCCAAGUAGCGCGGGACUCGUGGAAUCCCGUGUGAAUCCGCCCCGACCGUGGGGUAAGCCUAGAUAUACCUGUCUGACCGAUAGCGAACUAGUACCGUGAGGGAAAGGUGAAAAGCACCCCGGGAGGGGAGUGAAACAGUCUCUGAAACCGUGCGCUUACAAACCGUCGGAGCCUUUCGGGGUGACGGCGUGCCUAUCGAAAAAUGAGUCUGCGAGUCAGUGGCACGUGGCGAGCGUAACCCGUGUGGGGUACGCGUAGCGAAGGCGAGUCUCAAAAGGCGUUUGAGUCGCGUGUCCUGGACCCGAAGCGGGAUGAUCUAGCCCUGAGCAGGUUGAAGCGCGGGUAAGACCGCGUGGAGGACCGAACCCACCUGGGUUGAAAACCGGGGGGAUGACUUGGGGCUAGGGGUGAAAGGCCAAUCAAAUUCCGUGAUAGCUGGUUCUCUCCGAAAUGCAUUUAGGUGCAGCGUCGGGGAUUACGUCCGGGGGGUAGAGCUACUGGAUGCUUGAGGGCCCGUAUCGGGUACCGACAGCAGCCAAACUCCGAAUACCCGUGACGCGUAUCCCGGCAGUGAGUCGGCGGGGGAUAAGCUCCGUCGUCGAAAGGGAGACAGCCCAGAUCGUCGUCUAAGGUCCCCAAGCGCGUGCUAAGUGGGAAAGGAUGUGGAGUCGCAUAGACAGCCAGGAGGUUGGCUCAGAAGCAGCCACCCUUGAAAGAGUGCGUAACAGCUCACUGGUCUAGUGGUUCCGCGCCGACAAUGUAGCGGGGCUCAAGCACGCCACCGAAGACGCGGCAGCGUCCGUUUGGAUGCUGGGUAGGAGAGCGUCCCCAUCGGGGCGAAGCGGCGGCGCAAGCCUGCCGUGGACCGUUGGGGAGUGAGAAUGCAGACAUGAGUAGCGAGAGGCGGGUGCGAAUCCCGCCCGCUGGAUGACCAAGGGUUCCGGGGCCACGUUCGUCGUCCCCGGGUGAGUCGGGUCCUAAGGCGAGGCCGACAGGCGUAGUCGAAUGGAUGAACGGGCUGAUAUUCCCGUACCGGCAGCGAACCGAAACAACCGAGGCCUGGGGCGCUAACCUCCGGGUCCGUGCCGUCUCCCCUUUCGGGGGGUCGCGGCGCGGGCGCGUUGGGAUCCCCCCUCGUAGUAGGUCAGCGCAGGAGUGACGCAUCAGGGCAGCCGGCCGCGGAGGUGGUUUUCCGUGGUCAAGCGUUCGAGCCCGUCCCGCAGGCAAAUCCGCGGGGCGUCGGGGCGAGGCGUGAUGAUGGGGGCCUUACGGCCCGAAUCCGGUGAUCCGUGGUGCCGAGAAAAGCUUCGGCGUCAGGCGCGUUGCCGCCCGUACCCCAAACCGACACUGGUGGUCAGGUAGAGAAUACCAAAGCGAUCGAGCGAAUCCUGGUCAAGGAACUCGGCAAAUUGCUCCCGUGCCUUCGGCAUAAGGGAGACCCCCUGCGGUGAUGAGCGGCGGGGGGUGGCACAGGCCAGGGGGUAGCGACUGUUUACCAAAAACACAGGAGCGUGCGAAGGCGCAAGCCGCUGUAUACGCUCUGACGCCUGCCCGGUGCCGGAAGGUUAAGAGGAUCCGUCAGCUUUCUGCGAAGCGGUGAAUUCAAGCCCCGGUAAACGGCGGUGGUAACUAUAACCAUCCUAAGGUAGCGAAAUUCCUUGUCGGGUAAGUUCCGACCUGCACGAAUGGCGUAACGACUUCCCCACUGUCUCGACCAGGAGCUCGGCGAAAUUGCAGUACGAGUAAAGAUGCUCGUUAAGCGCAGAAGGACGAAAAGACCCCGGGACCUUUACUAUACCUUGGUAUUGGCAUUCGGUGUGGAUUGUGUAGCAUAGGCGGGAGGCCGAGAGGCGCGGUCGCCAGAUCGCGCGGAGCCGUAAGGUGAAAUACCGCUCUGUUCGCAUUGGAUGUCUAACCUCGAACAGUCAUCCUGUUCAGGGACAGUGCCUGGCGGGUAGUUUAACUGGGGCGGUUGCCUCCCAAAGAGUAACGGAGGCGCCCAAAGGUCCGCUCAGCCCGGUUGGCAAUCGGGUGGCGAGUGCAAGUGCACAAGCGGGCUUGACUGCGAGGACGACGGUCCGAGCAGGGACGAAAGUCGGGACUAGUGAUCCGGUGCCGGUGUACGGACGCGGCAUCGCUCAACGGAUAAAAGGUACCCCGGGGAUAACAGGCUGAUCAUUCC
rnacentral:rRNA from 1 species